rnacentral:rRNA from 1 species
UCUUUUAAUUAAAGGCUUGUAUGAAUGGUUGGACAAAAAGUAAGCUGUCUUCAGUUAUAGAAAUUGAAUUUGACUUUUAAGUGAAAAGGCUUAAAUAAAACAAAGUGACGAUAAGACCCUAUAAAGCUUUAUAGUGUAGCUUUUUAUUAUAAAUUAUAAAAUUGUAUAACUUAAUUUAAAGUAAAACUUUUUCGUUGGGGCGACGGAAAUAUAACAGAAAUAACUGUUUUUAUAUAAAUAAAACAAAUAUAUUUGGCCUAAAAUGAUCCUUUGCUAAAGAUUAAAAGAUUAAGUUACUUUAGGGAUAACAGCGUAAUCUUCUUUGAGAGUUCAUAUCGACAAGAAGGGUUGCGACCUCGAUGUUGAAUUAAGGUUCCUUUAUGGUGUAGCAGUUAUAAUUGGAGGUCUGUUCGACCUUUAAAUCCUUACAUGAUUU